GCGUUAUAAGUGUAGGGGUAUCAUGCAAGAUUCCCAUUCUUGCAAUCUCGAUUCGAGUCCUAGGUAGUGCA
rnacentral:tRNA from 1 species